rnacentral:rRNA from 1 species
AUUGAACGCUGGCGGCAGGCUUAACACAUGCAAGUCGAGCGGGGUGAUGGUGCUUGCACUAUCACUUAGCGGCGGACGGGUGAGUAAUGCUUAGGAAUCUGCCUAUUAGUGGGGGACAACAUCUCGAAAGGGAUGCUAAUACCGCAUACGCCCGCCGGGAGAAAGCAGGGGAUCACUUGUGACCUUGCGCUAAUAGAUGGGCCUAAGUCGGAUUAGCUAGUUGGUGGGGUAAAGGCCUACCAAGGCGACGAUCUGUAGCGGGUCUGGGAGGAUGCUGCGCCACACUCGGAGUGAGACAGGGCCAAGACUCCGACGGGAGGCAGCAGUGGGGAAUAUUGGACAAUGGGGGGUUCCCUGAUCCUGCCAUGCCGCGUGUGUGAAGAAGGCCUUCGGGUUGUAAAGCACUUUCAGCGGGGAGGAAGGCGGUACGGUUAAUAACCGUGCCGAUUGGCGUUACCCGCAGAAGAAGCACCGGCUAACUCCGUGCCAGCCGCCGCCGUAA